CUGACAGUUAAAGUCAGUUGAAGCAAAACUGUUACUGGUUAGAAGAUAUGCAUUAUUGUAGCUCUGUGUUAUAUUUAUUUUAAACAAGAAUAAAUCCUUGGUCGUUGUUUAUCCUGGGUGGCAACAUUUACUGUCAAUUCCCACGUGAAGAUAGAAGGAAUGUUAUGUUCUGCCAAGACAACACAGCUAUCCUGAGAUCCUUGAAGGCUCAGGGUGAGUGCUGAAAGUUUCCUCAGGUGGUGACAGCAGCUGAUUAUCUAGUUACAGACAUCUAAAAACCUCAUGGUGAGGUGUCAAAAGGACACAGGUGAAGCAGUGACUGUCCUGAAUCGGUACUUGGAUGCAGGUGAAUAAGCUGAAACUCAAUCCAGACAAGACAGAAGUACUGUUGGUCGGUGGUUCCUCUGCCCAGAUAACGAGUCUCCAAAAAGGAGCCAAGUCCACCCGGUACUGCUACUCUGGCAGUUGGAAAGGAACCAAGGUGCUAAUGCUUUAAUCACCCUUCCCUAACAGUCAUGCUGUCAGCAUUAGUGUGAUGUCAGAGCAAAACCUUAAUGCUGAAGGACGUUUCCCGAAGGGUCAACUGCAUGGCCUUUGGGCUGAAUGCACAGGGGACCACGAAAAAGAGGAGCUAGAUACCACUAAGAAUAAUAAUAGAAUAAGAUGGAGUUACACCAUUUAAAUAUAACAUUUUAUCAAUCAAACAAAAAAAAACACUAGUCCGAUUUUUAUUAUUCGCCCCUUCACUAUUUUCUAAUUCUAAAUUUCAAAUUAAAUAAUUUUUGAUGGCUGGCAUACUAACUCUUUUAGAUUUUAAAUAUUUCAUUGUUCGGUCAGGGAUUCAGAGUUGCAAAUUCUAUACAUCCAGAGCAAAAAUAAUUGGUCAAUGUAUCCUUUUGAUAUGCCGUAGGCUCCAAACUCCAUUAGGCACUGGCAAAGGAGUAUGGGAAGGCCAUUUGCAGCUAGAAGGAAGAAUGGCUACAAAUAGAAAUUACAUGAAUCAGAGACUGUGAAGAUGAAUGACCUGUAAUUCUUCUGGGGGGAAACAAAGUGUACAUCCAG